rnacentral:rRNA from 1 species
UACGCAGGGGGCUAGCGUUGCUCGGAAUCACUGGGCGUAAAGCGCACGUAGGCGGACUCUUAAGUCGGUGGUGAAAUCCUGGAGCUCAACUCCAGAACUGCCUUCGAUACUGAGAGUCUCGAGUCCGGGAGAGGUGAGUGGAACUGCGAGUGUAGAGGUGAAAUUCGUAGAUAUUCGCAAGAACACCAGUGGCGAAGGCGGCUCACUGGCCCGGUACUGACGCUGAGGUGCGAAAGCGUGGGGAGCAAACAGG